AUUGAACGCUGGCGGCAGGCCUAACACAUGCAAGUCGAACGGUAACAGGAAACAGCUUGCUGUUUCGCUGACGAGUGGCGGACGGGUGAGUAAUGUCUGGGAAACUGCCUGAUGGAGGGGGAUAACUACUGGAAACGGUAGCUAAUACCGCAUAACGUCGCAAGACCAAAGAGGGGGACCCUCGGGCCUCUUGCCAUCGGAUGUGCCCAGAUGGGAUUAGCUUGUUGGUGGGGUAACGGCUCACCAAGGCGACGAUCCCUAGCUGGUCUGAGAGGAUGACCAGCCACACUGGAACUGAGACACGGUCCAGACUCCUACGGGAGGCAGCAGUGGGGAAUAUUGCACAAUGGGCGCAAGCCUGAUGCAGCCAUGCCGCGUGUAUGAAGAAGGCCUUCGGGUUGUAAAGUACUUUCAGCGGGGAGGAAGGGAGUAAAGUUAAUACCGUUGCUCAUUGACGUUACCCGCAGAAGAAGCACCGGCUAACUCCGUG
rnacentral:rRNA from 1 species